rnacentral:rRNA from 1 species
GAUGAACGCUGGCGGCGUGCCUAAUACAUGCAAGUUGAGCGAACAGACGAGGAGCUUGCUCCUCUGACGUUAGCGGCGGACGGGUGAGUAACACGUGGAUAACCUACCUAUACGACUGGGAUAACUUCGGGAAACCGGAGCUAAUACCGGAUAAUAUAUUGAACCGCAUGGUUCAAUAGUGAAAGACGGUUUUGCUGUCACUUAUAGAUGGAUCCGCGCCGCAUUAGCUAGUUGGUACGGUAACGGCUUACCAAGGCCACGAUGCGUAGCCGACCUGAGAGGGGGAUCGGCCACACUGGAACUGAGACACGGUCCAGACUCCUACGGGAGGCAGCAGUCGGGAAUCUUCCGCAAUGGGCGAAAGCCUGACGGAGCAACGCCGCGUGAGUGAUGAAGGUCUUCGGAUCGUAAAACUCUGUUAUUAGGGAAGAACAAAUGUGUAAGUAACUAUGCACGUUUUGACGGUACCUAAUCAGAAAGCCACGGCUAACUACGUG